UACGGAGGGUCCGAGCGUUAUCCGGAAUCAUUGGGUUUAAAGGGUCCGUAGGCGGAUUAUUAAGUCAGAGGUGAAAUCCCGCAGCUUAACUGUGGAACUGCCUUUGAUACUGGUAGUCUUGAGUUGUUUGGAAGUAGAUAGAAUAUGUAGUGUAGCGGUGAAAUGCUUAGAUAUUACAUAGAAUACCGAUUGCGAAGGCAGUCUACUACGAACAUACUGACGCUAAUGGACGAAAGCGUGGGGAGCGAACAGG
rnacentral:rRNA from 1 species